GCUCAAUCAGAAUGUGCUUGCCUUUAACAAAUUUUUUACGUAUUUCCUAUCUUUCUUAUCUACGUAAUCCAAUCUAUAAUCUUCGGUUAUUAAUUUAACAUGUAAUGAUGGGUUUUGCAGGAUCCAGUUCUAGACCAAGCACUGCAGUCGUCAACAUAACAUGCCCGUUUUCCGUAAUUCUUACAGAUGCUCACUCAGACUGUUCUUAUUUUCCAUGACGAAGGCGACAUUUUCUUU